CCUACGGGAGGCAGCAGUCGAGAAUCAUUCACAAUGGGGGAAACCCUGAUGGUGCGACGCCGCGUGGGGGAAUGAAGGUCUUCGGAUUGUAAACCCCUGUCAUGUGGGAGCAAAUUAAAAAGAUAGUACCACAAGAGGAAGAGACGGCUAACUCUGUGCCAGCAGCCGCGGUAAUACAGAGGUCUCAAGCGUUGUUCGGAAUCACUGGGCGUAAAGCGUGAGUAGGCUGUUUCGUAAGUCGUGUGUGAAAGGCGCGGGCUCAACCCGCGGACGGCACCUGAUACUGCGAGACUAGAGUAAGGGAGGGGGAACCGGAAUUCUCGGUGUAGCAGUGAAAUGCGUAGAUAUCGAGAGGAACACUCGUGGCGAAGGCGGGUUCCUGGACAUUAACUGACGCUGAGGCACGAAGGCCAGGGGAGCGAAAGGGAUUAGAUACCCUAGUAGUC
rnacentral:rRNA from 1 species